GCUAGCGACAGGCCUAACACAUGCAAGUCGAGGGGUAGCAGGAUGUAGUAAUACAUUGCUGACGACCGGCGCACGGGUGAGUAACACGUAUGCAACCUACCUUCUACAGGGGAAUAGCCCGGAGAAAUUCGGAUUAAUACCCCAUAACGCAGGGUAUACCGCAUGGUAAUAUUUGCUAAAGAUUAAUCGGUAGAAGAUGGGCAUGCGUUCCAUUAGCCAGUUGGUGGGGUAACGGCUCACCAAAGCUACGAUGGAUAGGGGAACUGAGAGGUUUAUCCCCCACACUGGAACUGAGACACGGUCCAGACUCCUACGGGAGGCAGCAGUGAGGAAUAUUGGUCAAUGGACGAGAGUCUGAACCAGCCAAGUCGCGUGAAGGAUGACGGCCCUACGGGUUGUAAACUUCUUUUGUAUGGGAGUAAAAAGAUGGACGUGUCCAUUAUUGCAAGUACCAUACGAAUAAGCAUCGGCUAACUCCGUGCCAGCAGCCGCGGUAAUACGGAGAUCCACCUGGGGAGUACGCCGGCAACGGUGAAACUCAAAGGAAUUGACGGGGGCCCGCACAAGCGGAGGAACAUGUGGUUUAAUUCGAUGAUACGCGAGGAACCUUACCCGGGCUUGAAAUGCAUCUGACCGCUUAAGAAAUUAGGCUUCUAGCAAUAGCAGAUGUGUAGGUGCUGCAUGGUUGUCGUCAGCUCGUGCCGUGAGGUGUCGGCUUAAGUGCCAUAACGAGCGCAACCCACAUUGUUAGUUACUAACAGGUCAAGCUGAGGACUCUGACAAGACUGCCAGCGUAAGCUGUGAGGAAGGUGUGGAUGACGUCAAAUCAGCACGGCCCUUACGUCCGGGGCGACACACGUGUUACAAUGGAUGGUACAGAGGGUCGCUACCUAGUGAUAGGAUGCCAAUCUCGAAAGCCAUUCCCAGUUCGGAUUGGAGUCUGCAACUCGACUCCAUGAAGCUGGAUUCGCUAGUAAUCGCGCAUCAGCCAUGGCGCGGUGAAUACGUUCCCGGGCCUUGUACACACCGCCCGUCAAGCCAUGGAAGACUGGGGGUACCUGAAGUACGUAACCGUCAAGGAGCGUCCUAGGGUAAAACUAGUG
rnacentral:rRNA from 1 species